rnacentral:rRNA from 1 species
UUAUAUUUGAAUAAUAUUGUGCCAGCAUUCGCGGUUAUACAAUUAAUUAGUAUUUUUUUUUUUUUUUUUUUUUUUUUCAAAAUUUUUGUGCCUCCAUGCGCGUUUAAAAAAUUAAUUAUUAUUUUUUUUUUUUUUUUUUUUUUUUUUUUUUUUUUGUUUAUUAAAUUAAAUAUUUAAGUGAAAUUUAUAUUUUUUUUUAUUUCUUUUCGUUUUAUUUUAAAAUUUUUUUUUAAACUAGGAUUAGAUACCCUAUUAUUCAUUUUUUAUAUUUUUUGAUUAUUAUUAGUUAUUUUCUUUAAAAUUCAAAGAUUUUGGCGGUUAAUCAAUUCUUUUUAGAGGAACCUGUAGUAUAAUCGAUAAUCCACGAUAAUUUUUACCUUUUAUUUUACUUGUAUAUCUCUAUUGUAAGAAUAUUUUUUAAAUAAUUUUCUUUAACAUAAAAUGAUUAAUUUUAGGUCAAGGUGCAGUUUUUAUUAGGUUUUUAUGGGUUAUUAAAAUUUUAUAUAAUUAUUAAUUCUUAAAUGAUUUUUAUUAGGAUUUAAUAGUAAAUUUAAUUAAUUAAUUAUUUUUAAUUUAGUUCUGAUUAAUGUACAUAUCGCCCGUCACUCCUUUAUAUAGGAUAAGUCGUAACAAAGUAAGCUUACUGGAAAGUGAGUUUAGAAUUU